UACCUGAGAGCUCAGUUGGUUGAGUGUGAGACUCUUAAUCUCAGGGUCAUGAAUUUGAACCCAUGUUGGGUAA